rnacentral:rRNA from 1 species
UACGUAGGGAGCAAGCGUUAUCCGGAUUUAUUGGGUGUAAAGGGUGCGUAGACGGAGUAGCAAGUUAGUUGUGAAAUCCCUCGGCUUAACUGAGGAACUGCAACUAAAACUACUACCCUUGAGUGCUGGAGGGGAAAGUGGAAUUCCUAGUGUAGCGGUGAAAUGCGUAGAUAUUAGGAGGAACACCGGUGGCGAAGGCGACUUUCUGGACAGUAACUGACGUUGAGGCACGAAAGUGUGGGGAG